GCUGGCGGUAUGCCUUACACAUGCAAGUCGUACGAGAGUUUUUAACUCAAGUGGCGGACGGGUGAGUAACACGUAAGAAUUUGCCUUUAGGAGGGGGAUAACAACUGGAAACGGUUGCUAAUACCCCAUAUGCUUUCGAGUGAAAUGGAUUUCCGCCUAGAGAGAAGCUUGCGGCUGAUUAGCUUGUUGGUGAGGUAAUGGCUCACCAAGGCGACGAUCAGUAUCUGGUUUGAGAGGACGAUCAGACACACUGGAACUGAGACACGGUCCAGACUCCUACGGGAGGCAGCAGUGGGGAAUUUUCCGCAAUGGGCGAAAGCCUGACGGAGCAAUACCGCGUGAGGGAUGACGGCCUAUGGGUUGUAAACCUCUUUUUUCAGGGAGGAAUCAAUGACGUGUACCUGAAGAAUAAGCAUCGGCUAACUCCGUGCCAGCAGCCGCGGUAAGACGGAGGAUACAAGUGUUAUCCGGAAUCACUGGGCGUAAAGCGUCUGUAGGUGGUUUAAUAAGUCAACUGUUAAAUCUUGAGGCUCAACCUCAAAAUCGCAGUCGAAACUAUUAGACUAGAGUAUAGUAGGGGUAAAGGGAAUUUCCAGUGGAGCGGUGAAAUGCGUAGAUAUUGGAAGGAACACCGAUGGCGAAGGCACUUUACUGG
rnacentral:rRNA from 1 species